rnacentral:lncRNA from 1 species
UGGGACUUGUGUUUCCGAGGGAGACACACGUCGGCCGAGCAGGGCCAGGGCAGUGGGGCAUGAAGGGCUCUUCGGCCCACUCGGACUUCGGGGUGGCCGCGGGGUUGCAGCCUGCAAGUUUCAUCUGGGUCUCAGAGAGGUAAACUGGAUCUGUCCCUGUGCACAGACCAUACCCAGAACAACUCUAAGCGGCCACUGAAGGUUCUGUGGAGGAAGACUUGGCCAAUUCUCAGGGACACCUCCUUCACUCCACCCCUCCUCACACCACCGCUGCCACUUAAGGCCAGCCCCGACCUGCCAAAGGCGCUGAUGCUGACACACUUCCUGGGAAGCUCUCUUCUGGCCCUUGUACCCAGAGAGGUUUGAAUGGAGCUGGGGAUUGAGACUUUUGAGCGGGUACAGGGGACAGGUUCUAGUUAUGUAACUCAGGCUGGCCUCAAACUUUCGGCAAUCCUCCUGCCUCAGCCUUCUAAGUGCUGGGAUUACAGGUGUGUCUGGAGAAGAGGCUGAGCUGUGGCCCUGUGUAAGAGGGUGUUGGGGAGGGGCUUCUUCCGGUAGGGCACACCUUUGACCAGACAGGAGGAGGGGCCUGGCUCCUUUUUUCACACUAAUCCUAUGGCAGCCUGCGCAGGACUUCCUGAGGAAGGGGCUGGUUUGUGACCUGAAAUCUUGGCGAAGCCAGUGUACUAUGUGAGUGGAGCUGGGAUCCUUGGACAUCUUUUCUUCUUUCCUUCCUUCUUUUGUGGGCACGGUGCUACUGGGGAUUGAACUCAGGGUCUUUGCUACAUUCUAGCCCUUUUUUGAGACAAGGUCUCCUUAAGUCACUAAGUUGUCCAUGCUGGGCUCGAACUUGUGAUCCUCCUUCCUCAGCCUCCCAGUGUGCUGAGUUUCUAGAGAUUACCUUUUCUAGAGAAUAACUUUUCAAAAGCCAUGCUGAGAGCCAGAUUUAGGCCACCAGCUACCAUCACAAGAAUGGGCAUCUUGCCAGGCGUGGUGGUGGCACACGCCUGUAAUCCCAGCACUCAGGAGGCUGAGGCAGGAGGAUCGCUAUGAGUUCAAGACCAGCCUGAGCUAUAUAGUGAGUUCCAGG